ACAUUCUGGACCACGCAUGUAACCUUGGCCACCAUGCUGACUCUCCUGGAUGGGCUGCCAUCAGGGAUCGUAGGUCUCAUGAGCAGACUGUCACCAGAUGAUGGACUGAACCCCAACAGGUGUUCUUGCUGCAUCUAUGCACCGCCAGAACCCCCACACCUCCCAUUCUUCAAAUGGACGUACAGCUUUCUCCUUAAGUCAAUAAAUAAACUUGAAAAAGUUGCUUUAUACCGCUUGAGUAAGUGGUCAGCCUCAUAAGGAGGAGACAACUGUGAAGAUAAAUAUCAUGAAAACAAAACGUGAUUAAAUUAUAACUAGACACUGUUUUCUGCCAAGGCUCUUUGUGUGAAGGUUGUUCUCGCUGUUCGGUGGAAAUAAACACUAGCAAGUGUUAUGAGUUAAA
rnacentral:sRNA from 1 species